rnacentral:rRNA from 1 species
GAUGAACGCUGGCGGCGUGCCUAAUACAUGCAAGUCGAGCGAACAGACGAGGAGCUUGCUCCUCUGACGUUAGCGGCGGACGGGUGAGUAACACGUGGAUAACCUACCUAUAAGACUGGGAUAACUUCGGGAAACCGGAGCUAAUACCGGAUAAUAUAUUGAACCGCAUGGUUCAAUAGUGAAAGACGGUUUUGCUGUCACUUAUAGAUGGAUCCGCGCCGCAUUAGCUAGUUGGUAAGGUAACGGCUUACCAAGGCAACGAUGCGUAGCCGACCUGAGAGGGUGAUCAGCCACACUGGAACUGAGACACGGUCCAGACUCCUACGGGAGGCAGCAGUAGGGAAUCUUCCGCAAUGGGCGAAAGCCUGACGGAGCAACGCCGCGUGAGUGAUGAAGGUCUUCGGAUCGUAAAACUCUGUUAUUAGGGAAGAACAAAUGUGUAAGUAACUAUGCGCGUCUUGACGGUACCUAAUCAGAAAGCCACGGCUAACUACGUG